GAGCCUCUGGCCCGCACAGAUUCAUGGCGUUUCGGCACACCUUGUUGCAUCGCAGAGCUUUGCUGACUCGUUAGAUUUCAUGCCCUCGUUAUUCUCCACCGGAACAGCCAUUUCACGGCUUUCGAGACACCUCUUUGACUAGGAAGGAUAGAGCAUCCUUGCGUGGUGCUACUAGCGGGAGUUCUGGAUUGGAGCUUUGUGAGGUUUGAAGUUUGAACGGGAUACGAGGUUUGAGCUUGCUUCUUGCGGAUUUGGCGUUGGUUUAUGGCUCCAGUGAGUGAAUUUCGUUGUAGCGUGCUUAUUUUAGCAUCCGAGGAGCUUUAGUAUUCCGUGAUGUUAGCUCUGGUGGGGAGCUCGUGACUGUGUUGUUGAUUGUCCAUUUGAGGAAUUGAUAGGAUUGAUGAAAUUCAUAUUAUUUUCCACUUUAAUUUGAUGGUCAGAGAUCUUUUGAAGUUCUUCUUUUUAGCUUCUGGAAGAAUUUGUAGUGGAAGAUGGAAUGUUGGCUUUAAUGAUCUCUGUCACCUCC
rnacentral:lncRNA from 1 species